rnacentral:rRNA from 1 species
AUUGAACGCUGGCGGCAUGCUUUACACAUGCAAGUCGAACGGCAGCGCGGGCUUCGGCCUGGCGGCGAGUGGCGAACGGGUGAGUAAUAUAUCGGAACGUACCCAAGAGUGGGGAUAACGUAGCGAAAGUUACGCUAAUACCGCAUACGAUCUAAGGAUGAAAGCAGGGGAUCGCAAGACCUUGUGCUCCUGGAGCGGCCGAUAUCUGAUUAGCUAGUUGGUGGGGUAAAGGCCCACCAAGGCAACGAUCAGUAGCUGGUCUGAGAGGACGACCAGCCACACUGGAACUGAGACACGGUCCAGACUCCUACGGGAGGCAGCAGUGGGAAUUUGGACAAUGGGCGCAAGCCUGAUCCAGCAAUGCCGCGUGAGUGAAGAAGGCCUCGG